rnacentral:rRNA from 1 species
GAGUUUGAUCAUGGCUCAGAUUGAACGCUGGCGGCAGGCCUAACACAUGCAAGUCGAACGGUAACAGGAAGAAGCUUGCUUCUUUGCUGACGAGUGGCGGACGGGUGAGUAAUGUCUGGGAAACUGCCUGAUGGAGGGGGAUAACUACUGGAAACGGUAGCUAAUACCGCAUAACGUCGCAAGACCAAAGAGGGGGACCUUCGGGCCUCUUGCCAUCGGAUGUGCCCAGAUGGGAUUAGCUAGUAGGUGGGGUAACGGCUCACCUAGGCGACGAUCCCUAGCUGGUCUGAGAGGAUGACCAGCCACACUGGAACUGAGACACGGUCCAGACUCCUACGGGAGGCAGCAGUGGGGAAUAUUGCACAAUGGGCGCAAGCCUGAUGCAGCCAUGCCGCGUGUAUGAAGAAGGCCUUCGGGUUGUAAAGUACUUUCAGCGGGGAGGAAGGGAGUAAAGUUAAUACCUUUGCUCAUUGACGUUACCCGCAGAAGAAGCACCGGCUAACUCCGUGCCAGCAGCCGCGGUAAUACGGAGGGUGCAAGCGUUAAUCGGAAUUACUGGGCGUAAAGCGCACGCAGGCGGUUUGUUAAGUCAGAUGUGAAAUCCCCGGGCUCAACCUGGGAACUGCAUCUGAUACUGGCAAGCUUGAGUCUCGUAGAGGGGGGUAGAAUUCCAGGUGUAGCGGUGAAAUGCGUAGAGAUCUGGAGGAAUACCGGUGGCGAAGGCGGCCCCCUGGACGAAGACUGACGCUCAGGUGCGAAAGCGUGGGGAGCAAACAGGAUUAGAUACCCUGGUAGUCCACGCCGUAAACGAUGUCGACUUGGAGGUUGUGCCCUUGAGGCGUGGCUUCCGGAGCUAACGCGUUAAGUCGACCGCCUGGGGAGUACGGCCGCAAGGUUAAAACUCAAAUGAAUUGACGGGGGCCCGCACAAGCGGUGGAGCAUGUGGUUUAAUUCGAUGCAACGCGAAGAACCUUACCUGGUCUUGACAUCCACAGAACUUUCCAGAGAUGGAUUGGUGCCUUCGGGAACUGUGAGACAGGUGCUGCAUGGCUGUCGUCAGCUCGUGUUGUGAAAUGUUGGGUUAAGUCCCGCAACGAGCGCAACCCUUAUCUUUUGUUGCCAGCGGUCCGGCCGGGAACUCAAAGGAGACUGCCAGUGAUAAACUGGAGGAAGGUGGGGAUGACGUCAAGUCAUCAUGGCCCCUUACGACCAGGGCUACACACGUGCUACAAUGGCGCAUACAAAGAGAAGCGACCUCGCGAGAGCAAGCGGACCUCAUAAAGUGCGUCGUAGUCCGGAUUGGAGUCUGCAACUCGACUCCAUGAAGUCGGAAUCGCUAGUAAUCGUGGAUCAGAAUGCCACGGUGAAUACGUUCCCGGGCCUUGUACACACCGCCCGUCACACCAUGGGAGUGGGUUGCAAAAGAAGUAGGUAGCUUAACCUUCGGGAGGGCGCUUACCACUUUGUGAUUCAUGACUGGGGUGAAGUCGAAACAAGGUAACCGUAGGGGAACCUGCGGUUG